UCAGGAUGAACGCUGGCGGCGUGCCUAACACAUGCAAGUCGAACGAAGCACUGGAACCGAUCUCUUCGGACUGACGUUCCUUUGACUUAGUGGCGGACGGGUGAGUAACGCGUGGAUAACCUGCCUGUAUCUGGGGGAUAACAGUUAGAAAUGACUGCUAAUACCGCAUAAGCGCACAGUACCGCAUGGUAAAGUGUGAAAAGCCUUGUGCGGAUACAGAUGGAUCCGCGUUAGAUUAGCCAGUUGGCGGGGUAACGGCCCACCAAAGCGACGAUCUAUAGCCGGCCUGAGAGGGCGACCGGCCACAUUGGGACUGAGACACGGCCCAAACUCCUACGGGAGGCAGCAGUGGGGAAUAUUGCACAAUGGGGGAAACCCUGAUGCAGCGACGCCGCGUGAGCGAUGAAGUAUUUCGGUAUGUAAAGCUCUAUCAGCAGGGAAGAAAAUGACGGUACCUGACUAAGAAGCCCCGGCUAACUACGUGCCAGCCGCCGC
rnacentral:rRNA from 1 species